rnacentral:misc_RNA from 1 species
CUUUUGAAGGACUGUGAAGGUAAUGUGGGGAGAUAUUGGGCUUAAAUUUUGUAAGGGGAUAAUUCUUCCGAGAUCUGUGAGGUGCAGGGAUUGUAUCAACAGGAGAGAUAGAUUUGCAGAGACGUAACUUCGAAGAGUGAUUGAUUGGUCAACUGUAAUGAGACGGCAGAGAGGCACAGAGAGAGAGAGGUCUCAGCUUAAUUACCAAUUUGCCCUUUGUCUCCUUCACGCGCUUUUCCUUCGCCAUUGGCCCAAUUCACAUCUUGGCUGGGCUGGUCUGGGCUGGCUAAGCCUUUCACCCUAUAAAAUGCAAAGUCAUAAACCCUAACCUCUUCCAGCGUUAUCGUCUUUGCAGAGAGAGGUUGAAAUCUUUAGCUUCAUUCAUUGUUGUUCUUAGGUGGGAAAGGGAGGAGUUACAAAUGUAUCUUCAGUUCUACAUAAACGAGAAUGGUGAUAAGGUGUACACCACCAAGAAGGAAUCACCACUGGGGCUUGCUACUCAAUCUGCUCAUCCAGGUAAUAUGUCUUAAUAUAUGGAGCGAGGUACUUAGAUUUUCCAAUCCACAAGAAGAAUGUAUAUAGGGCUGUACUGAUUGACCCUUCAAUCUUGUUUUUGUCUAUUGAAUGGGCUAUCAUCAUGAUUCACAUUUCUCUAAGAAAAUCUUAUCAUCUCUUGUGUAACUAAUUUCUGACCUGCAUUUAUUUUCUUUUAUUGUAUAAAAUUUCAAGAUUAACGAUAUUACUGGCUCUUUUUGUUCUUUUACGAUGUCUUUCUUUUAAUUUUUUAAUGAAUCCUUUUAACAAUAAAAUAAAAUAGAAGAAUGAAAUUGUCGUAUUGCUGAAAUUUAGUUUGCUAGGAGCAUUGCAUUAAACAAUGCAAAUAUAUUCUUGACUAAAAUGUCACUGACUCAAUUUGUGCCUUUUGGGAAAUCAGUUUGCCAAACUUGAUCUUGCUUCUUUUAUUGUUUUCGCUACUUGAAUCAGUUUGAUAAUGUUAGAAUGGGAUUGACUUGGUGGUGGGGGAGCUUUGGUUGGUUCGAUUCAAGCAAAACUGAAAACCGGUCGACCUUAAAAUCCAGAUUGAACCAAUAUUCAAGGAAUAACUGAACUGAACCAAACCGACAAAUAUUAGUUCAGUUCAGUUCAAAGAGAACCAAAUUUAUUGAAAAAAAUCAGCAUCAACAUACAUAAAAAUCAAUUCACGUGGGCUGGAAUUAGUCUAUAGGCUGGACCUACACAAAAUAUACAGAAGCCCUAUUAAAAAAAAGGCAUUAUAUAUAUGUAUAUUCAUUUUAUUUUUGUCGGAAAAAAGGGAACUGAAAACUGAAAUUAUCUAAAAUCUCAAACCAAACCAAAUAGCCUAGACUGAAAAACCCAACUUCAAUUUGCUUUUUGGUUUAAACUGAAAACUGCAUGCGCCAACUUGGUGGUGGAUUAUUAGCAUAUGGUUGAUUUUAUUGGAAAAAACUAAAUGAUUUAGAGAGGCAUUUGGUGAAUUUAACUAUUGAAGUUCUUCCUUGCCUGAAACUUUCAUCUGUUAUGGACUGUUACCAGUGCCUAUGAUUUGCACCAGAUUUCUGGAUAGAAUUUGUUUGGUUAACGGAGCCAUCAAAAGAGUCAUAUACCGAGUUUCUAUGAAAGCUAUAGUUUGAGGAGAAAACAAACAAUUUGAGUCUUUGGUGGCUCUCUCUCCAUCCCUCCCUAAUUUUUUCUGCUUUUAAGACCAUUAGGAAGUUUAUUUUUCAUUGAUGUAUUUCUGUUUCACUGCUUAAUUGCAGCUCGCUUCUCUCCUGAUGAUAAAUUCUCAAGGCAAAGAGUUCUUCUAAAGAAGCGCUUUGGAUUGUUGCCAACCCAGCAGCCACCUCCAAAGUACUAAGUCUAUGGUGUGGCUUAUGCUGUAUUCUACUGGAGCAUAUCUAAUAUGGAGCUUUCCUUCUCAAUGCCAAAGAUUGUUCCUGUUUUUAUCCUUUCAAUGGCUAUGGAAAUGGAAGGUAGUUUAUUUGCUGCCAUAACGUAGCAGGACUGUUGUAGCCAAUAUUUGUUAUAUGAUUGAAAUGCAUGAGAUUUUUGAAUGAUAUUUCAUGGAAUGCUAAUGAAUAGAUGGCCAAAUAUAUUAGUAACGCAUUGUGGAAAGCUGAAUCUUUGGUUUUGCUGGCACAGUUGACUGACUGGUGGAUUGAAAACCAUACCCUUUAUCUUUCAGUCUAGAGGAAACCAUGACAUUCUCAUCUCUGCAUAAAUUUUGCAUCAUUCGAUUGAUGCAUAGUUUGAUCUUAGAUGGUUUUAAUUGUGAUAGACAGUUUAUUGCAGGCUCAUUUUUCUGCCAAUUUCCUGUUAUGUUACCUGCUGGUUCCAUACAUAUUUGUAUGUGCGCCAUGUUGGCUGCACUCAAUAAUUACUCAUCCCUGUAAUUGGAAGUACAAGAGCAAGAACCAAGUCUGUCGUAUCGGUUACCCUAUGAUUGUUUAGCAGUAAAAUGGCUAAUAUUAUUUACAAGUUCCCCUUGGGAUGGCCUUACGCUGGUUCUAGGCUUGAACUGGCGGUUCAUCCCUUCCAGCCGGAUCAAACUAGAAUCAUGCUUGAUUGGUCCGGUUCAAAUUGAAUUUAGUUCAUUGUUGGUCUCGGUUUGAUUUUG